CCUACGGGAGGCAGCAGUAGGGAAUCUUCCACAAUGGACGAAAGUCUGAUGGAGCAACGCCGCGUGAACGAUGAAGGCCUUCGGGUCGUAAAGUUCUGUUGUAAGGGAGGAACAAGUGCCGCAGGCAAUGGCGGCACCUUGACGGUACCUUGCGAGAAAGCCACGGCUAACUACGUGCCAGCAGCCGCGGUAAUACGUAGGUGGCAAGCGUUGUCCGGAAUUAUUGGGCGUAAAGCGCGCGCAGGCGGCCUCUUAAGUCUGAUGUGAAAGCCCCCGGCUCAACCGGGGAGGGCCAUUGGAAACUGGGGGACUUGAGUGCAGAAGAGGAAAGUGGAAUUCCACGUGUAGCGGUGAAAUGCGUAGAGAUGUGGAGGAACACCAGUGGCGAAGGCGACUUUCUGGUCUGUAACUGACGCUGAGGCGCGAAAGCGUGGGGAGCAAACAGGAUUAKAUACCCUGGUAGUCCACGCCGUAAACGAUGAGUGCUAAGUGUUAGGGGGUUUCCGCCCCUUASUGCUGCAGCUAACGCAUUAAGCACUCCGCCUGGGGAGUACGGCCGCAAGGCUGAAACUCAAAUGAAUUGACGGGG
rnacentral:rRNA from 1 species